AGCGAACGCUGGCGGCAGGCUUAACACAUGCAAGUCGAGCGCACCGCAAGGGGAGCGGCAGACGGGAGAGUAACACGUGGGAACGUACCCUUCAGUUCGGAACGACCCAGGGAAACUUGGGCUAAUACCGAAUACGUCCGUAAGGAGAAAGAUUUAUCGCUGAAGGAUCGGCCCGCGUCUGAUUAGCUAGUUGGUGAGGUAACGGCUCACCAAGGCGACGAUCAGUAGCUGGUCUGAGAGGAUGAUCAGCCUCACUGGGACUGAGACACGGCCCAGACUCCUACGGGAGGCAGCAGUGGAGAAUAUUGGACAAUGGGCGCAAGCCUGAUCCAGCCAUGCCGCGUGGAUGAUGAAGGCCUUAGGGUUGUAAAGUCCUUUUAACGGGGAAGAUAAUGACGGUACCCGUAGAAUAAGCCCCGGCUAACUUCGUGCCAGCCGCCGCGGUAA
rnacentral:rRNA from 1 species